ACUCCUACGGGAGGCAGCAGUGGGGAAUAUUGCACAAUGGGGAAACCCUGAUGCAGCCAUGCCGCGUGUGUGAAGAAGGCCUUCGGUUGUAAAGCACUUUCAGUAGGGAGGAAGGUAGUGUAGUUAACACCUGCAUUAUUUGACGUUACCUACAGAAGAAGCACCGGCUAACUCCGUGCCAGCAGCCGCGGUAAUACGGAGGGGUGCGAGCGUUAAUCGGAAUUACUGGGCGUAAAGCGCAUGCAGGCGGCCUGUUAAGUCAGAUGUGAAAGCCCGGGGGCUUAACCUCGGAAUUGCAUUUGAAACUGGCAGGCUAGAGUCUUGUAGAGGGGGUAGAAUUUCAGGUGUAGCGGUGAAAUGCGUAGAGAUCUGAAGGAAUACCAGUGGCGAAGGCGGCCCCCUGGACAAAGACUGACGCUCAGAUGCGAAAGCUGGGGAGCAAACAGGAUAGGAUACCCUGGUAGCACAGAG
rnacentral:rRNA from 1 species